rnacentral:rRNA from 1 species
AGAGUGAACGCUGGCGGUAGGCCUAACACAUGCAAGUCGAACGGCAGCACAGUGGUAGCAAUACCAUGGGUGGCGAGUGGCGGACGGGUGAGGAAUACAUCGGAAUCUACCUUUUCGUGGGGGAUAACGUAGGGAAACUUACGCUAAUACCGCAUACGCCCUUCGGGGGAAAGCCGGGGAUCGCAAGACCUGGCGCGGAUAGAUGAGCCGAUGUCGGAUUAGCUAGUUGGUGAGGUAAUGGCUCACCAAGGCGACGAUCCGUAGCUGGUCUGAGAGGAUGAUCAGCCACACUGGAACUGAGACACGGUCCAGACUCCUACGGGAGGCAGCAGUGGGGAAUAUUGGACAAUGGGCGCAAGUCCGAUCCAGCCAUACCGCGUGGGUGAAGAAGGCCUUCGGGUUGUAAAGCCCUUUUGUUGGAAAGUAAAAGCAAUCGGUUAAUACCCGGUUGUUCUGACGUACCCAAAGAAUAAGCACCGGCUAACUUCGCGUCAGUCAGCCGCGUAAUCUA